GCCUAACAUAACACACAAUUAAAUAACCAAUUGUUCGCCAAAUAACUACGAGUGUAAACUUAAAACUUAAAAGACUUGACGGUACUUCACACCACCCUAGAGGAGCCUGUCUAAUAACCGAUACCCCACGAUUAACCCAACCCGCCCUAGCCAACCAGUCUAUAUACCGCCAUCGCCAGCUCACCUUGUGAAAGAAACACAGCGAGCUCAAAAGCAUCAACCCGCUAAUACGAUAGGUCGAGGUGUAACCAAUGGGCAGGACAAAGAUGGGCUACAUUUUCUAACAUAGAAAACACGGACAGAUUAUGAAAGUAAAAACCAAAGGCGGAUUUAGCAGUACACUGAGAACAAAAUACUCAGCCGAAACAAACGCAAUGAAGUGCGUACACACCGCCCGUCAUCCCUGCCAAACAACACAAAACUCUAUAUAACCCAAAAUAAAGCUAAAACAGGGCAAGUCGUAACAUGGUAAGCGUACUGGAAAGUGUGCUUAGAAA
rnacentral:rRNA from 1 species